GACGAACGCUGGCGGCGUGCCUAAUACAUGCAAGUCGAACGAGAGCGCCCGGUGCUUGCCCUGGUCAAUCUAGUGGCGAACGGGUGAGUAACACGUGGGUAACCUGCUCAUCAGAGGGGGAUAACAUCCGGAAACGGAUGCUAAAACCGCAUAGGUCUUCGAGCCGCAUGGCUUGAAGAGGAAAAGAGGCGCAAGCUUCUGCUGAUGGAUGGACCCGCGGUGCAUUAGCUAGUUGGUGAGGUAACGGCUCACCAAGGCCGUGAUGCAUAGCCGACCUGAGAGGGUGAUCGGCCACAUUGGGACUGAGACACGGCCCAAACUCCUACGGGAGGCAGCAGUAGGGAAUCUUCCGCAAUGGACGCAAGUCUGACGGAGCAACGCCGCGUGAGUGAAGAAGGUUUUCGGAUCGUAAAACUCUGUUGUUAGAGAAGAACAAGUGCUAGAGUAACUGUUAGCGCCUUGACGGUAGCUAACCAGAAAGCCACGGCUAACUACGUG
rnacentral:rRNA from 1 species